GGGCCCGCACAAGCGGCGGAGCAUGCGGAUUAAUUCGAUGCAACGCGAAGAACCUUACCAAGGCUUGACAUAUACCGGAAAAGUUCAGAAAUGUUCUCCCCGCAAGGUCGGUAUACAGGUGGUGCAUGGUUGUCGUCAGCUCGUGUCGUGAGAUGUUGGGUUAAGUCCCGCAACGAGCGCAACCCUCGUUCUAUGUUGCCAGCACGUAAUGGUGGGAACUCAUAGGAGACUGCCGGGGUCAACUCGGAGGAAGGUGGGGAUGACGUCAAAUCAUCAUGCCCCUUAUGUCUUGGGCUUCACGCAUGCUACAAUGGCCGAUACAAAGGGCUGCAAUACCGUAAGGUGGAGCGAAUCCCAAAAAGUCGGUCUCAGUUCGGAUUGAGGUCUGCAACUCGACCUCAUGAAGUCGGAGUCGCUAGUAAUCGCAGAUCAGCAACGCUGCGGUGAAUACGUUCCCGGGCCUU
rnacentral:rRNA from 1 species